GUGAGGAAUAUUGGUCAAUGGGCGAGAGCCUGAACCAGCCAAGUCGCGUGAAGGAAGAAGGAUCUAUGGUUCGUAAACUUCUUUUGCAGGGGAAUAAAGUGCAGGACGUGUCCUGUUUUGUAUGUACCCUGAGAAUAAGGAUCGGCUAACUCCGUGCCAGCAGCCGCGGUAAUACGGAGGAUCCGAGCGUUAUCCGGAUUCAUUGGGUUUUAUGGGUGCGUAGGUGGUUUGAUAAGUCAGCGGUGAAAGUUUGCAGCUUAACUGUAAAAAUGCCGUUGAAACUGUCGGACUUGAGUGUAAAUGAGGUAGGCGGAAUGCGUGGUGUAGCGGUGAAAUGCAUAGAUAUCACGCAGAACUCCGAUUGCGAAGGCAGCUUACUAAGCUACAACUGACACUGAAGCACGAAAGCGUGGGGAUCAAACAGGAUUAGAAACCCUAGUAGUCC
rnacentral:rRNA from 1 species